GAUUAAGUUAUUAAGGGCGCACGGUGGAUGCCUUGGCACUAGAAGCCGAUGAAGGACGUUACUAACGACGAUAUGCUUUGGGGAGCUGUAAGUAAGCUUUGAUCCAGAGAUUUCCGAAUGGGGAAACCCAGCAUGAGUUAUGUCAUGUUAUCGAUAUGUGAAUACAUAGCAUAUCAGAAGGCACACCCGGAGAACUGAAACAUCUUAGUACCCGGAGGAAGAGAAAGAAAAUUCGAUUCCCUUAGUAGCGGCGAGCGAAACGGGAAGAGCCCAAACCAACAAGCUUGCUUGUUGGGGUUGUAGGACACUCUAUACGGAGUUACAAAGGACGACAUUAGACGAAUCAUCUGGAAAGAUGAAUCAAAGAAGGUAAUAAUCCUGUAGUCGAAAAUGUUGUCUCUCUUGAGUGGAUCCUGAGUACGACGGAGCACGUGAAAUUCCGUCGGAAUCUGGGAGGACCAUCUCCUAAGGCUAAAUACUCUCUAGUGACCGAUAGUGAACCAGUACCGUGAGGGAAAGGUGAAAAGCACCCCGGAAGGGGAGUGAAAUAGAACCUGAAACCGUGUGCUUACAAGUAGUCAGAGCCCGUUAAUGGGUGAUGGCGUGCCUUUUGUAGAAUGAACCGGCGAGUUACGAUUUGAUGCAAGGUUAAGCAGUAAAUGUGGAGCCGUAGCGAAAGCGAGUCUGAAUAGGGCGUUUAGUAUUUGGUCGUAGACCCGAAACCAGGUGAUCUACCCUUGGUCAGGUUGAAGUUCAGGUAACACUGAAUGGAGGACCGAACCGACUUACGUUGAAAAGUGAGCGGAUGAACUGAGGGUAGCGGAGAAAUUCCAAUCGAACCUGGAGAUAGCUGGUUCUCUCCGAAAUAGCUUUAGGGCUAGCCUCAAGUGAUGAUUAUUGGAGGUAGAGCACUGUUUGGACGAGGGGCCCCUCUCGGGUUACCGAAUUCAGACAAACUCCGAAUGCCAAUUAAUUUAACUUGGGAGUCAGAACAUGGGUGAUAAGGUCCGUGUUCGAAAGGGAAACAGCCCAGACCACCAGCUAAGGUCCCAAAAUAUAUGUUAAGUGGAAAAGGAUGUGGCGUUGCCCAGACAACUAGGAUGUUGGCUUAGAAGCAGCCAUCAUUUAAAGAGUGCGUAAUAGCUCACUAGUCGAGUGACACUGCGCCGAAAAUGUACCGGGGCUAAACAUAUUACCGAAGCUGUGGAUUGUCCUUUGGACAAUGGUAGGAGAGCGUUCUAAGGGCGUUGAAGCAUGAUCGUAAGGACAUGUGGAGCGCUUAGAAGUGAGAAUGCCGGUGUGAGUAGCGAAAGACGGGUGAGAAUCCCGUCCACCGAUUGACUAAGGUUUCCAGAGGAAGGCUCGUCCGCUCUGGGUUAGUCGGGUCCUAAGCUGAGGCCGACAGGCGUAGGCGAUGGAUAACAGGUUGAUAUUCCUGUACCACCUAUAAUCGUUUUAAUCGAUGGGGGGACGCAGUAGGAUAGGCGAAGCGUGCGAUUGGAUUGCACGUCUAAGCAGUAAGGCUGAGUAU
rnacentral:rRNA from 1 species